GACGUAGGGUGCAAGCGUUAAGCGGAAUUACUGGGCGUAAAGCGCUCGUAGGCGGCCAACUAAGUCAGACGUGAAAUCCCCAGGCUCAACCUGGGAACUGCGUCUGAUACUGGUUGGCUUGAAUCCGGGAGAGGGAUGCAGAAUUCCAGGUGUAGCGGUGAAAUGCGUAGAUAUCUGGAGGAAUACCGGUGGCGAAGGCGGCAUCCUGGGCCGGCAUUGACGCUGAGGAGCGAAAGCUAGGGGAGCAAACGGG
rnacentral:rRNA from 1 species